UAAAGGCUUGCUCUCUUCGUUGGUAUUCAUCAACAAGGUCAGUUGUCCCUACCAACAUAGCCUUCAUCAUAGCGAGAACACAGGUGCCGAGUCCCUUAUGGAGACUUUCCGAGAAAAAAAAAAUUUACAAAACCAUUUUAGGUAGCGCGUGCACGCAACGCCAAUUUCCGAUAAUCUCCACCUUGUGGGCCUCACAAGCUCAUUACUGUCCUCGAAAUUCUGCCAGUUUGCGGUGGAUUCACCUGCAAAAAAUGCUAUUCUGUAAGGCCUGAGCCUACAACACACAUACACAAAGAAAGCCAUACGUACCGAGCA